GCGGCUACGGCUCUCUUCUUGGCCCGUUCCGCCGCUAGGUCUAGGUCUAGGUCGUCGCCGCUGUUCAUCUCUCUACCUGGUCUGCGUCGCCGACGGGCUCCUGGACGUGCGCCUGCAGGAGGCGACAGAAGGUGGCGCGUCAGAACGACGUCGGGCGACGCACACGGCGAGGACCGUGCGGUAGCAGCUGCGGGUAGCAGAGGACCUGGCCCUGGAGGAGGGCGAGAGGAACCGGCCGAAGGAGUAGUUGAAGACACUCGAACUGAAGUGCCUCAAGAAGAAGCUGGGGAGUCGUUAGGCGCCGAUGCGGCUGGAGGUGAAGUACGGGUGCCUGCUGUAGAGACACCUACUACAUACGUUGCCGGAUCGAAACGAUCUAGUAAUACACCAGUUAGGGCGGUGAGCUGCAACCCGUUCGGACGGGGGUGCGGGUAGAGGAGGGGACCCCAAACCGCUACCGGAGGCAGCGGUAUGUACUACGUACAAAAGAGAAGUCUUUGUUGUUCCACCCUUCUCUCUAGCAAGUAGGCUGUCCCUCUACGGGACCCCUGAGAACGGCUGUACAAUGACGAACUCGACGGUUACGGUCUACUUGAUAUGCGACACAUGACCGUACCUCUUUAGAUGCACGUGACAGUAAAACAAUACUCUUAUAGCAAUAGUUCACCGUGCAUGGUUCGUUAAUUUGACGGUUGUCUACAACUAGUCGUGGCCACCCGUGUCCAAGAAGAACCCUCUAGUCUCUUCCCCCACAUAAAACGUCGUGAACUACCAGUUACAGUAGAAGCUCAAACCUAUGAGUGACUUACGACGCCAGUCUCACUCACCAAAGACUUCGUACUAUUGUUGGAAGUGGUUUAGGGUGGUGGAGUUUUGAUACUAGGUGUUCAAGUGUCCGGGACGACCUAAUACCGUCUAUAGUUAGGUCGAUAAAUGUCAUGUCAUUUUUUCUUCAAGCUCAACUUAAGUCUGGUACUCUAUUAGAAACUUUGAUCUGAACUUCCCGCGUCCACCCUACUUGUAUAAUUCUAGGAACCUAAAGUAGGAAUGUUUCUUUAUUAAAUAAAGUCACUUUGCAACUUGUCUCCUAUACGGAUAGUAGAUCUACUUGAGUUCGAUCUUCUGAACCCGUUGUACGCGGGUUUUCCUAACCUACUGACGAUAUUAUUCCUUGAUCUUUCUAGAUAAGGUAUAUGUGGAACAAACAACCCGGGUAUUAUUCCUUCAUCUAUUAACUAACUGUUCGAACAGCCCCUAAAGGUUGCCUUCGAUACGUAUGUGUACUACGUAUGCAGAGACAGGGAGCUCGACGAAGUGAAGGGUCGUAUCAGAUACUUUCUCAAGUCAAAGUAAAAAGUAAAUGUAAAAUCACAGAGUACAUGACAACGAGUCAAUAUCGAUCUAGAUGGUAAUGGUACUCGCCGGUACCCAAGUCAACAUUCCUAUUCUAGGUUUAAUUCUGAAAACAAGCUGUUUAUUACGUUCUUUACAAC
rnacentral:rRNA from 1 species